GCUCGGCCCUUUUAAAUAAAAAUCUGAUGGGCUUCUUUUAUUUAUAGGAUUUGGGCUUCUUUAAUUUAAUUGUUUGGGCCUUAUUCAAAGAAAAACAUGAUAGACUUAAUUUAUCUAAUUAAUUUGGGCUUAUAUCUAUUUAAAUUAUUUGAGCUCUUAAUUAUUAAUUUAAAUUGAGCUUGAUUAAUUUAAUUAUAUAUUGACCUUUAAAUUAAUUAUUUAAAUGGAGUUCUUUAUUUCAAGUAUUUAUAAAUGGAUUUUAAAAUAAAAUAUUUUGAGUUAAACUCUUAUUUAAAUUAAUUCUUUUCAAAUGACUUAUUAAUAUGGAUUAUUUGAAAAUGAUUAAAUGAUUUUAAAUAUGAGAAAGCAUGAUCUAUGAUGAUAUAAUUUAUCUAUGUGAUAUUAUAGGAUUUGUUUUUAAGAUGACGGAAUAUUUGACUUGAUGACAUAAAUAGAACGAGUUAUGAUUAAUGCGCAUGUUGAUGUUCGAAUAAAUAGUUCGAACCUAAAUGUUAGUUAUGUGAUAAAUGUUUUGAGUUUAAGGUUUUGAACGAGACGAAACAAGAUUAAUAUGGAUGCUAGAACCCUAAAAUCAUUAAAGGAGAUAGUUUAGUUUAGAGACCUAUCUUCCUUUCUUACACGACUUUCUUCUCGAACUUAUCGACUCUUCGUCAAUAAAGGUCCAGACGGGAAGUGAAAGCUAAAGAAGGAGGUAACUCUACGCCCCUAGUGGGAACGGAAUGAGGUUGAGCGGGUGAUGGAAUGGAGUGGAGUUGAGCGGAUGUACCUUUUGACAUAGAACAAUAAUGUAACCUUGAGUAUACAUCUUCAUAUGUAUAACUCACACGUAUUUCCGCUGAAAGAUACUCUGAUUAUGAUAAUGUUUUAUUUUAAGUAUGAUACUCUUUUGUUGGGUAAUCCACUUCGACGGGCCUUCCCGAACGAACGUCUUGUAUUUGCCCAAGUGAUCAGUUAUGAUCCUAGUGUUAUAUAAUAAAUGUCUCUUUUCAUAAAA